rnacentral:rRNA from 1 species
GUAGGUGGCAAGCGUUGUCCGGAAUUAUUGGGCGUAAAGCGCGCGCAGGCGGUUCUUUAAGUCUGAUGUGAAAGCCCACGGGCUCAACCGUGGAGGGUCAUUGGAAACUGGAGAACUUGAGUACAGAAGAGGAAAGCGGAAUUCCACGUGUAGCGGUGAAAUGCGUAGAGACGUGGAGGAACACCAGUGGCGAAGGCGGCUUUCUGGUCUGUAACUGACGCUGAGGCGCGAAAGCGUGGGGAGCAAACAGGAUUAGAUACCCUGGUAGUCCACGCCGUAAACGAUGAGUGCUAAGUGUUAGGGGGUUUCCGCCCCUUAGUGCUGCAGCUAACGCAUUAAGCGCUCCGCCUGGGGAGUACGGCCGCAAAGGCUG